rnacentral:rRNA from 1 species
AAUAUUUGACAAUGUGCGCAAGCUUGAUCCAGCCAUGCCGCGUGAGUGAUGAAGGCUCUAGGGUUGUAAAGACCUUUCACCGUUGAAGAUAAUGACGGUAACCGGAGAAGAAGCCCCGGCUAACUUCGUGCCAGCCGCCGCGGUAAUACGAAGGGGGCUAGCGUUGUUCGGAUUUACUGGGCGUAAAGCGCACGUAGGCGGAUUGGUCGGUUAGGGGUGAAAGCCCAGGGCUUAACCCUGGAACUACCUUUAAUACUGCCAGUCUUGAGUAUGGAAGAGGUGAGUGGAAUUGCGAGUGUAGAGGUAAAAUUCGUAGAUAUUCGCAGGAACACCAGUGGCGAAGGCGGCUCACUGGUCCAUUACUGACGCUGAGGUGCGAAAGCGUGGGGAGCAAACA